AGAAAGCAAAUAUAUUACAGGGCCUAGGCAAGAUCUUAUUUCUCCCUCUCCCUCCAUCCCCUUGUCCUACUCUCAAGUUUCCCAGGAAGGUAGGGAGAUUUUGGAUGUUUGCUGCAGAGGAGGUCCAGGACCUACCUGUGCCCACCCCAGCUCCAACUUCUGGCCUUGCUUUUCUUUUCACAGCACCAGAAAGCUGACAGUUCAUAGACAGCAUUAAAUUGAGAAUAAAUGAGGUAGGUUUCAAUCUCUAUCCCUGAGCCCCGAGCCCUGGGAACCAUGGUUAGAUAGCCAGAUUCCUUAGAUUUCCUUAGAAGUAUUGGGAUGGUUGGGAUUUGGGGUAAAGGUGCUACCUGGCAUACCAACAACAACAGUAACAACAAUAAUAAUACCUUCUUCUUACUCAUGGCUUGAGACUUUUCAGAACAUUUCCACAUUCAUGGUCUCAUCAGUGCCUCACAACAGUGAUGAUUGUUAUCUCCAUCUUUAUAGAUGGAAAAUUAAAACUCAGAAGGGAGGGGUUUUCCUUAAGCCAUUCCAUUGAAUUAGAGGUAGGAGGAGGAAUUCAGUCUCCAGGCUGGUACCUUAAUGUUAUUAGAUAGGGAUGGGCAAGGUACUUGUUAGAGCAAAGAUGUGAGGAAGCUGGAGAAGGUAAGGAUCAAAAAAAAAUUUUCUCCAACAGGAUGAUGAUUCAACAGACUUGGAAAAUAUUCAAAAUUUAACCUCUCAGUACGAGGAGGACAUCAAUAACUAUUUGAUGGAUACUGUCGAUGCUGAAUAUCAGAAACAAAAUCAGGACCACACUGGGGUCCGCAUCACUGAGCAGCUGAAGCUGAAGGAGAAAAUGAAGAAUGAUGAUGCCUCUUACAAUGAGCCAAUAACGGGAAAUACAACACUGGAAAAGGCCCUCAGUAUCUGGGAGUUGAUGCUGAAAAAGAUUAAGGAUGGGUGGAACAAAGUUCUUGAGUUUGUGAGGCAGAUAGUUGGUUUUGUGAAGAAGAUUAAAGAUGAUAUAGUAAAGGCAGUGAAAAGUAUAUGGGAGAUGUUGAAGAGCCUAUUUUAAUUCCCUCCAUGGUAGAAAGAACUGCACGUCAUGGGUACUUUGUAAGGCUUCCAGAUUUAGGGUAAUUUUAAUUUUUUUCAAAUUAUAAACUUCAUGAAAAAAGAAGGUGGGAGAGAAUUUCCAUGCACACAGCAGAAUAUCAAAAGAAGAUUCUAUAUGUAAACCUAAAUUUCUGUUUCAUAUCAUUUGCUUUAAGAUAAAAUAAUAAAGUCUCUAUAUUACAUAGAGAUCUCUCCUGA
rnacentral:lncRNA from 1 species